rnacentral:lncRNA from 1 species
CCUAAAAGACUGAUAUACAUAAAAGAGUGAUAUACCUAAAAGAGUGAUAUGAACUCAGGGGCUCCUUAAGGGUUAGCAGUUCCUUCUCCAAUAUUUGGUAACCCACACUAAUGCCCCCACCAGCUGUAGAUAUGAACUCGGGUGUGUCGUUAGGGUUGGCAGUUCCUGCUCCAACAGCGAAUAUUUGGUAACCAACACUUUUGCCCCCACCAGCUGUAGAUAUGAACUUAGGUGCACCGUAAGGGUAAGCAGUUUCUGUUCUAAUAGAGAAUAUUUGGUUACCAACACUUAUGCCCCCAACAGCUGUAGAUAUGAACUCAGGUUCACUGUAAGGGUUAGCAGUUUCUGUUCCAACAAGGAAUAUGUGGUUACCAACACUAAUGCCCCCAUCAACUGUAGACAUGAACUUAGGUGCUCAGUAAGGGAUAACAGUUUCUGUUCCAAUAAAGAAUAUUUGGUAGCCAACACUAUUGUCUCCACCAGCUGUAGAUAUGAACAUAGGUUCUCCGUAAAGGUUAGCAGUUCCUGCUGCAAUAGAGAAUAUUUAGUUACCACCACUAAUGCCCCCAGGCAGCUGUAUAUAUGAACUCAGGUGCUCCGUGAGGGUUAGCAGUUUCUGUUCCAAUAGAGAAUAAUGGUUGCCCACACUAAUGCCCCCAUCACCUGUAGAUAUGAACUCAUGUGCUCCGUAAGGGUUAGCAGACUCUGUUCCAAAAGAGAAUAUUUGGUAACCACCACUAAUGCCCCCACCAACUGUAGAUAUAAACUCAUGUCCUCUGUAAGGGUUAGCAGUUUCUGUUCCAAUAGAGAAUAUUUGGUAACCAACACUUUUGCCCCCACCAGCUGAAGAUAUGAACUCAGGUGCUCCGUGAGGGUUAGCAGUUUCUGUUCCAAUAGAGAAUAUUUGGUUACCAACACUAAUGCCCC